AUGGAGUUCGAGUCAGAUCAGUGCAGGGCGAUGAAGGUAGCAAUAGAAAAAGUGAUGCCAAGCAGCACGCACUGGUGGUGCAAGUGUCACGUGCUUAAGAAAGCAAAAGAAUAUCUUGGUCCGUAUUACACAAAGACGAGCAAAUUCAGAUCAGAUUUCCACAAAAUAAUACAUCACAUGCUGACGGUUGAUGAGUUCGAGACUGCAUGGAAAGUGCUGACAGAGACACAUGGUCUAAAAAAACACCAUUACCUAACGCAGAUCUAUGAAAUAAGAUCAAAGUGGUCAAAACCAUGCUUCAAGGGAAAAUUUUGUGCAAAAAUGACCAGCAGAACGCAGCGAAAGCGCCAACCGUAUGCUGAAGGGGAGGCAAGUGAGAACUAUGAAGAGAGAGGCGUACAAAAAUAA
rnacentral:rRNA from 1 species